UACGGAGGGCGCAAGCGUUUUUCGGAAUCACUGGGCGUAAAGCGCGUGUAGGCGGCUUUGCAAGUCGGGUGUGAAAUCCCGAGGCUCAACCUCGGAACUGCACUCGAUACUGCUUGGCUCGAGUCCCGGAGAGGGUGGCGGAAUUCCCGGUGUAGGGGUGAAAUCCGUAGAUAUCGGGAGGAACAUCAGUGGCGAAGGCGGCCACCUGGACGGUGACUGACGCUGAGACGCGAAAGCGUGGGGAGCAAACAGG
rnacentral:rRNA from 1 species